UUUUGGUGGAGGAACCAGACUGGAUGUUGGAAGUGAUGUCCGUCCCACCCUGACGGUGCUGCCCCCCUCCAGUGAGGAGCUGCAGCAGGGGAAGGCCACGCUCAUGUGUCUGGCCAACAAGGGCUUCCCCUCAGACUGGAGUCUGGUCUGGAAGGUGGACGGCAGCAGCAGCAGCAGCAACUGGGAGGAGAGCAGGAGCCCUGGGGUGCUGGAGAAGGACGGCCUCUACAGCUGGAGCAGCACCCUGAGGCUCCCUGCAGACCAGUGGAGGAAGGUGGGCUCUGUGACCUGUGAGGCCACCCAGGGCUCCCAGACUCCACUCUCAGAGACACUGAGGAGAGACCAGUGUUCCCAGUGUUCCCAGGUCAGGACUGGGAACACUGGUCUCUCCACUCUCAGAGACACUGAGGAGAGACCAGUGUUCCCAGUCCUGACCUGA